rnacentral:rRNA from 1 species
UACAGAGGCCCCAAGCGUUACUGAGAAUCACUGGGUUUAAAGGGUGCGUAGGUGGUCCGUUAAGUUCGUUGUGAAAUCCCUGGGCUCAACCCAGGAACUGCUUCGAAUACUGGCGGACUUGAGGCUAGUAGGGGUCACUGGAACUGACGGUGGAGCGGUGAAAUGCGUAGAUAUCGUCAGGAACGCCAAUGGUGAAGACAGGUGACUGGGCUAGAUCUGACACUGAGGCACGAAAGCGUGGGGAGCGAACGGG